rnacentral:rRNA from 1 species
GACGAACGCUGGCGGCGUGCUUAACACAUGCAAGUCGAACGAAGUGGCGAACGGGUGAGUAACGCGUAAUCAACCUGCCCUUCAGAGGGGGACAACAGUUGGAAACGACUGCUAAUACCUCAUACUGAAGGAGGGGAUUGCGUCUGGUUAGCUGGUUGGAUGGGUAACGGCCCACAAAGGCGAUGAUCAGUAGCCGUUUUGAGAGGAUGAACGGCCACAUUGGGACGGAGACACGGCCCAGACUCCUACGGGAGGCAGCAGUGGGGAAUCUUCCGCAAUGGACGAAAGUCUGACGGAGCAACGCCGCGUGAGUGAUGACGGCCUUCGGGUUGUAAAGCUCUGUUAAUCGGGACGCGGGAAAGGAAAAGAAAGCCACGGCUAACUACGUGCCAGCAGCCGCGGUAAUUG